CUGGAAUGUGAGAGUGGGGGUUGCUGGGUAUGUUGGAGGCUCCACAGAACUCUGCUCAGAGCCACUGUGCCCCUGGUUCCCGUGCAUGAGCAAAACAGAGCAACUGUUGCAGAGCAGCACGAAAGCAAGGCAGAAAUCUCUAAAUGCAAACAGAAGGGACAGACAAGUUUAAACUUUAUCUUAAGAAAUGAUCCAAGUGCAAAAUGCAGUAACAAAAAAUAUAAUUGCAACCUCCCUGGCAGUCUAUUCAAAAGACACUUGAACCCUGGGAGCUGGCUUUCCCUCUUUGGAAUAUGCCACAGCAAGAGAACCUUCAAACAUGAAAGAAAAUGUGUUCAAAAUUCUGAGACAAAUUGAAGUCUGUUCUCAAAUAAAACCAAAAAAAAUUACAUUGAUAUAGAAUUUAUGGGAAAUCUGAACUCUUUAGAAAGGGCAUAACUGACCUGGAAAGUACCACUGAGCAUCUGUGAGGAAAAGCAGUGGGGAAACAAAACCUGUAAAGACCAGCAAGGUACUGAGAGUCAAACAACUCCAGUCCACAGCAGUGGCUUUUUAAUUCCUGUUUUAUGAUUUUUAGAUGUUCAGUUAUGCUGCAUAAACUCGAUUUAAUAACUUCUAGAUUGGCCACAUUUGGAGAAUAAACAGAUUGUCAAUGAA